rnacentral:tRNA from 1 species
GCGGGGGUAACCAAGCCCGGUUAUGUCAAGCGGGAUGCCGAGAGGUGCUGGCCUGCUAAGCCAGUUCCCCGUUGGGGAGCGCGGGUUCAAAGCCGAGGAGGCAGUCCGAGGUGAUAAUCCCGCCCCCCGCGCCA